rnacentral:rRNA from 1 species
UACGGAGGAUGCAAGCGUUAUCCGGAUUUAUUGGGUUUAAAGGGUGCGUAGGCGGAUAUGUAAGUCAGCGGUGAAACUCACAGGCUCAACCUGUGCCGUGCCGUUGAAACUGUGUAUCUGGAAUGCGGAUGCUGUGGGAGGAAUGUGUAGUGUAGCGGUGAAAUGCAUAGAUAUUACACAGAACACCGAUUGCGAAGGCAUCUCACAAAGCCGUUAUUGACGCUGAGGCUCGAAAGCGUGGGGUAGCAAA